rnacentral:rRNA from 1 species
AACGCUAGCUACAGGCUUAACACAUGCAAGUCGAGGGGCAGCAUAGAAGUAGCAAUACUUUGGUGGCGACCGGCGCACGGGUGAGUAACGCGUAUGCAACCUACCUAUCAGAGGGGAAUAACCCGGCGAAAGUCGGACUAAUACCGCAUAAAACAGGGGCACCGCAUGGUGAUAUUUGUUAAAGAAAUUCGCUGAUAGAUGGGCAUGCGUUCCAUUAGGUAGUUGGUGAGGUAACGGCUCACCAAGCCGACGAUGGAUAGGGGAACUGAGAGGUUGGUCCCCCACACUGGUACUGAGACACGGACCAGACUCCUACGGGAGGCAGCAGUGAGGAAUAUUGGUCAAUGGGCGAGAGCCUGAACCAGCCAAGUCGCGUGAAGGAAGAAGGAUCUAUGGUUCGUAAACUUCUUUUGCAGGGGAAUAAAGUGCAGGACGUGUCCUGUUUUGUAUGUACCCUGAGAAUAAGGAUCGGCUAACUCCGUGCCAGCAGCCGCGGUAAUACGGAGGAUCCGAGCGUUAUCCGGAUUUAUUGGGGUUAAAGGGAGCGUAGAUGGAUGUUUAAGUCAGUUGUGAAAGUUUGCGGCUCAACCGUAAAAUUGCAGUUGAUACUGGAUAUCUUGAGUGCAGUUGAGGCAGGCGGAAUUCGUGGUGUAGCGGUGAAAUGCUUAGAUAUCACGAAGAACUCCGAUUG